GCUUACGGCCAUACCACUCUGACAAAGCCCGAUCUCAUCUGACCUCGGAAGCAAAGCAAAGUUGGGCCUGGUUAGUACUUGCUUGGGAGACUGAAUGGGGAUACUAGGUGCUGUAAGCU
ensembl:rRNA 5S_rRNA 5S ribosomal RNA